rnacentral:rRNA from 1 species
UUGAACGCUGGCGGCAUGCCUUACACAUGCAAGUCGAACGGUAGAGGGGCAACCCUUGAGAGUGGCGAACGGGUGAGUAAUAUAUCGGAACGUGCCCAGUCAUGGGGGAUAACGCAGCGAAAGCUGCGCUAAUACCGCAUACGAUCUAAGGAUGAAAGCGGGGGAUCGCAAGACCUCGCGCGAUUGGAGCGGCCGAUAUCAGAUUAGGUAGUUGGUGGGGUAAAAGCCUACCAAGCCGACGAUCUGUAGCUG